GAGACACACCCAGCGGCAGCCGUUGACUCCCUCCACCCUUGCUUCCCUCUCAACCAUCUCACCUCCAUCUGUCCAGUGGAGCCAGAUGUCCCACCUUCUUGGGAGAAAUUAAUUGAGGCUCAUUUCCAGGACAGAGGGGCAAGCUGGGUCUGAGGAGCCAAGCAGAAAAACUUCCCAAAAUCACUGGGUGGGGAGGGGUCAGAGACUUACUGCUGCCCCAGCUGUUCUGACUCUGCCCCCAGCUUUUGGCCCCACCCUUUUAAAGCACCUUCAGAGGUUCCCAAUGGUGACAGUAAACAAGUCUCCACUGUCCUGGCCAUCUCUGCUGUGUUCACCCUACUCCUGAUCUUUCUGGCUGCUCAGGGACUGACAGCCAAGAUGUGAGGCUGUGAUGAGCAGGAACAGGGAGGCCUGGAGCCCCCAGCCAUUGUCAUCACUUCCCUGAUCUGCCUAAAUUCUGCCCAGCAGUCCGUGAAAAUGGUUUGCUGAUGACAUAUGUAAGGACUUUAACUCCCCUCAAGCAAUCUGCUCAUCUCAAAGGAUUUGCAAUGAUCAAGAGGCGUCCUGUGAAUGCAGUUUGCAAAGGACUUAGGCACACAGCAUCUCCUUUGUUCUCACCACAAGGCUGCCGGGUGUGCAGAUGUGAGGAUUAUUUCAAUGGUGAAGAAGCAUCCUGAGAGGUUACGUAGUUCAACUAAUGUCACACCAAGAGCAGGAGAGCAUCUGGGCAUUUGGACAUGGAAGGUGUGGGGCACAAGCAUCUCAUGGCCAGGGAACGGGGGAGGAGCAUCUCAGAGCUGCAUCAGAGUUCAUGCUGGUCCUAGGACAAGAGUCAAGCACACCCUGCUUUCACCAGCUGCUGGUAGCUUUCACUCAGGCCACCUCUCUUUGCCAGUCUUGACAAAUAAUUUCUUAGUGAAGCACCUAUUUCAGGCUGAGCCACAAGAUGUCAGCCUAAGCUUAGUCAUUUUGAAUUUUCCUGGCCCUUGAAACAACUACAUUUUUUCACUUUUAUGACCAAGAAAAAGUCUGAGAAGCUCACGACCCCUCAGGAUUAGGUACAGAGACCACAGCAGCUGCUUGCCCUGGGAGCUCUUCAUGCCUGUUCUCAGCCAUCUUCAGUGAAGAUUUCACAGGAUAACCCAAACUGGCUCCUUUCUGUGACACCACCCAGGGAACUGCAUUCCAAGUGUGGGUGUACACGGAUCUCCACCAUUGGUCCUUGCUCUCUCUCCUGUCCCAUCCUUUCUCCCCUUCCUCAGUUAUGCUCUGGGGCAGGUGAGUAAUCCUGCAUGCCUUCGGAGAUGUCCAUUUGGGAAUGAGAUCCUACCUUUCCUUUUCCCAGGCACCCCCAGCCUUAUGAGGGAUUCCCAUCACGUGGCUUUAGAGAUGAGAAGGCAUCUUUGCCAUGAACUCUUGCUUCAUCAGGUUGAAACUCACUCUUCCUGUGAACCCCCCACUUCUCUCUAUUCUUUCACAUGCUGGGAAGGGGACUGCAGAGACCUUUAGGGAUAGUACAGAGGAUGUGUCUCCUCGUGGCCAGCCCAGGGCAGGGACUGGACCCAGUGGUUUGCAGCCCUUUUUAGAAGGUUGGCAUUUAACUCACUUUGUCCUUAGGUUUGGUUCAUUGUCAUCAAGAUGGAGCGAUGAUGAAUGUCCUCCUCAACAUCUUUUACAUUUUACACUGAUAACAGUUAUUAGAAAGAACAAAGUUGGACUUGUGGAUCAGUGUGCAGUACUAGAGAAAAGAGGAAAACUCUAACCUAUUUUGAGUACUUACUUUUUUUCAUCUAAUUGUCACAAGACAGUGAAGUUGCUAUCACCUUCACUUGAUAAAUGAGGAAAAUUUGAGCUCAGAAAGUAUUCAGAAACUCGUUCAGGGUCUUAGAAUGAAUGAGUGAGACAGAAACACAAGUCUGUCUGAUUCUAGAGUCCUGUUUUUUUCUUUCAUUCUUUCCUUUUGAAAAAAUUCCCUUUACUACUUCUGCAUUUGAUACAAAGUGGUAUCUGGUAAAUGGGCCUGAAAACUUUCUAAAUAACUAGUUUUAAAUAAUCUCUGUGGAAAUUUAUACAAACAAAAAACUUCCUUGAAAAAGUAUAAACUCCCUCUUCCAGUAGGCUACGACAGACUCUCAAAUCAUCCGCUUCAAUCAUUUAGAGCUGCCAUGUGCCUUUGGCCUCCUGGUUAAAACUACAUAGUCAGAAUUGGAAAUACAGGUAGCUAUUAGUAGGAACAAAGACAGUGAAUGUCCAGGACAGAACUGAGCUGCAUUUCUAGGUUUGAAUGGAACCAGUAAUAAAAGUCCAAAAUAAAUGAUCACCUCCACCAUUCACUCUUCUAUGAUGGGUGUAAUGUAUUAUUUUUUCUUUUUUAAAAAAAAUUUUAUUUUAGGUUCAGGGGUACAUGUGCAUGUCUGUUAUAUAGGUAAACUUGUGUCAUGGGGGUUUAUUGUACAGGUUAUUUCUUAGCCCAGGUACUAAACCUAGUACCCAAUAGUUAUAUUUUUCUGCUCCUCUCCCUCCUCCAACCCUUCACCCUCAGGUAGGCCCCAGUGUCUAUUUUUCCCCUCUUUGUGUCAAUGUGUUCUCAUCAUUUAGCUCCCUCUUUUACAUGAGAACAUGCAGAAUUUGGUUUUCUAUUCCUGUUAGUUUGCUAAGGAUAAUGGCCUCCAGCUCCAUCUAUGUUCCUGUGAAAGACAUGGUCUCAUUCUCUUUAUGGCUGCAUCAUAUUCCAUGGUGUAUACAUACCACAUUUUCUUUAUCCAGUCUAUCAUUGAAGGGUAUUUAAGUUGAUUCAAUAUCUUGGCUAUUGUGAAUACUGCUGCAGUGAAAUAUGCAUGCAUGUGUCUUUAUAAUGGAACAAUUUAUAUUCCUCUGGGUAUAUACCCAAUAAUGAGAUUGCUUGGCCGAAUAGUGGUUCUGGUUUUAGCCCUUUGAGGAAUUGCCACACUGCUUUCCACAAUGGUUGGACCAAUUUACACUUCCACCAACAGUGUGUAAGCAUUUCCUUUUCUCUGCAACCUCCUCAGCAUCUGUUAUUUUUUGACUUUUUAAUAAUAGCCAUUUUGCCUAGUGUGAGAUGGUAUCUCACUGUGGUUUUUUUUCUUUACUUCAAUAGGUUUUUGGGGGACAAGUAGUGUUUGGUUACAUAACUAAGUUUCUUUAGUGGUGAUUUCUGAGAUUUUGGUGCAUCCAUUACCCGAGCAGUGUACACUGUAUCCAAUGUGUAGUCUUUUAUCCCUCACCCCCUCCCACCUUGUCCCCCAAGUCCCCAAAGUCUGUUGUAUCAUUCUUACGUGUUUGCAACCUCAUAGCUUAGCUUCCACUUAUGAUUGAGAAUAUCUGAUGUUUGGUUUUCCAUUCCUGAGUUACUGCACUUAAAAUAAUGGUUUCCAGUUUCAUCCAGGUUGCUGUGAAUGCCAUUAUUUUGUUCAAUUUUAUGUCUGAGUAGUAUUCCAUGGUAUAUAGAUAGGUACAGAUAUAGACAUAUCACAAUUUCUUUAUCCAAUCAUUGAUUGAUGGGCAUUUGGGCUGGUUUUACAUUUUUGCAAUUGGGAAUUGUGCUGCUAUAAACAUGCAUGAGCAAAUAUCUUUUUCAUAUAAUGACUCAUUUUCCUUUGUGUAGAUACCCUGUAGUGGGAUUGCUGGUUCAAAUGGUAACUCUGCUUUUUAGUUCUUUAAGGAAUAUUUACACUGUUUUCCAUAGUGUUUGUACUAGUUUACAUUCCCAUCAGCAGUGUAAAAGUGUUCCUUUUUCACCACAUUCCCUCCAACAUCUAUUAUUUUUUGAUUUUUUUAUUAUGGCCAUUCUUGCAGGAAUAAGGUGAUAUCGCAUUGUGGUUUUGAUUUGCAUUUCCCUGAUCAUUAGUGAUAUUGAGCAUUUUUCAUAUGUUUGUUGGGCACUUGCAUAUCUUCUUCUGAGAAUUAUCUAUUCAUGUCCUUAGCCCACUUUUUGAUGGGAUUGUUUGUUUUAUUCUUGCUUAUUUGUUUGAGUCCCUUGUAGAUUCUGGAUAUUAGUCCUUUGUGGGAUGUAUAGAUUGGGAAGAUCUUCUCACAUUCUGUGGGUUGUCUGUUUACUCUGCUGAUUGUUUCUUUUGUUGUGCAGAAGUUUUUUAGUUCAAUUAAGUCCAACUAUUUAUCUUUGUUUUUGUUGCAUUUGCUUUGGGGUUCUUGGUCAUGAAGUCUUUGAAUAAGCCAAUGUCCAGAAGGGUGUUUCCAAUGUUAUCUUCUAGAAUUUUUAUGGUUUAAGGUCUUAGAUUUAAGUCUUUCAUCCAUCUUGAGUUGAUCUUUAUAUCCCAUGAGAGAUGAGGAUCCAGUUUCAUUCUUCUACAUGUGGCUUGUCAAGUAUCUCAGUACCAUUCGUUGACUAGGGUGUCCUUCCCCUACUUCAUGUUUAUAUUUGCUUUGUCAAAGAUGAGUUGGUUGUAAGUAUUUGCCUUUAUUUCUGGGUUAUCUAUUAUGUUUCAUUGGUCUAUGUGCCUAUUAUACCAGUACCAUGCUGUUUUGGUGACUAUGGUCUUACAGUAUAGUUUGAAGUCAGGUAAUGUGAUGACUCCAGAUUUGUUCUUUUUGCUUAGUCUUGCUUUGGCUAUGCAGGCUCCUUUUUGGUGCCAUGUGAAUUUUAGAAUUUUUUUUUCCUAGUUCUGUGAAGAAUGAUGGUGGUAUUUUGAUGGGAAUUGCAUUGAAUUUAUAGAUUGCUACUGGCAAUAUGGUCAUUUUCACAAUAUUGAUUCUAUUCAUCCAUGACCAUGGGAUAUAUUUCCAUUUGUUUGUGUUAUCUAAAAUUUCUUUCAAAAGUAUGUUGUAGUUUUCCUUGUAGAGGUCUUUCACCUCCUUGGUUAGGUAUAUUCCUAAGUAUUUUUUUUCUGCAGCUAUUGUAAAGGGGGUUGAGUUAUUGAUUUGAUUCUCAGCUUGGUCGCUGUCAGUGUAUAGAAGAGCUACUGAUUUAUGUACAUUAAUUUUGUAUCAUGAAGCCUGCUGAAUUAAUUUAUCAGUUCUAGGGGCUUUUGGAAGGAGCCUUUAGGGUUUUCUAGGUAUAUGAUCAUAUCAUCAGCAAACAGUGACAGUUUGAUUUCCUCUUUACUGGUUGGAUGCCCUUUCUUUCUCUUGUCUGAUUGCUCUUGCUAGGACUUCCAGUAAUAUGUUGAAUUGAAGCGGUGAGAGUGGGCAUCCUUGUCUUGUCCGAGUUCUCAGGGGGUAUGCUUUCAACUUUUCCCCAUUCAGUAUUAUGUUGGCUGUGAGUCUGUCAUAGAUGGCUUUUAUUACAUUAAGGUAUGCCCCUUCUAUGCCGAUUUUGCUGAGGGUUUUAAUCAUAGAGCAAUGCUGGAUUUUCUCAAAUGCUUUUGCUGUGUCUAUUGAGAUGAUCUUGUGAUUUUAGUUUUUAAUUCUGUUUAUGUGGUAUAUCACAUUUAUUGGCUGUGUAUGUUGAACAUCUCUGCAUCCCGGGUAUGAAACCCACUUGAUCAUGGUGGAUUAUCUUUUUGGAUAUGCUGUUGGAGUCGGUUAGCUAUUAUUUUGUUAAGGAUUCUUGCAUCUGUACUCAACAGGUAUAUUAGUCUGUAGUUUUCUUUUUUUGUUAUGUUCUUUCAGUAUAAUGUAUUUUUUGAAGGAAAACAUGAAUAAACCAAUGUUGUAUCUACUGAAGUCAUUAUUGGUGCUCUCUCUCACUUGCAACCUGCCUUCACCUAAGGUCAUACGAAGCUUCUAGGGUUCCCUCCUCAGUUUCCUCCUUCUAGGGUUCCCUAUCAGAUUCAGAUUCACCACUUUUUUUGUACCAAACUUAUUUUAAUGUUCCCUACAAUGUUGAAAUAAAAUUCAUAGAUCACAUGACCUAUCUAGACACAAAAUCUUUAAAACCAUCAAUAUAUUAAACUAUAAUACAAAUAAAAC
rnacentral:lncRNA from 1 species